rnacentral:rRNA from 1 species
GCCAGCAGCCGCGGUAAUACGAAGGGACCUAGCGUAGUUCGGAAUUACUGGGCUUAAAGAGUUCGUAGGUGGUUAAAAAAGUUGGUGGUGAAAUCCCAGAGCUUAACUCUGGAACUGCCAUCAAAACUUUUUAGCUAGAGUAUGAUAGAGGAAAGCAGAAUUUCUAGUGUAGAGGUGAAAUUCGUAGAUAUUAGAAAGAAUACCGAUUGCGAAGGCAGCUUUCUGGAUCAUUACUGACACUGAGGAACGAAAGCAUGGGUAGCGAAGAGGAUUAGAUACCCUCGUAGUCCAUGCCGUAAACGAUGUGUGUUAGACGUUGGAAAUUUAUUUUCAGUGUCGCAGCGAAAGCAAUAAACACACCGCCUGGGGAGUACGACCGCAAGGUUAAAACUCAAAUGAAUUGACGGGGACCCGCACAAGUAGUGGAGCAUGUGGUUUAAUUCGAAGAUACGCGCAGAACCUUACCAACACUUGACAUGUUCGUCGCGACUCUAAGAGAUUAGAGUUUUCGGUUCGGCCGGACGAAACACAGGUGCUGCAUGGCUGUCGUCAGCUCGUGUCGUGAGAUGUUGGGUUAAGUCCCGCAACGAGCGCAACCCUCACUUUUAGUUGCCAUCAUUUAGUUGGGCACUCUAAAAGAACUGCCAGUGAUAAGCUGGAGGAAGGUGGGGAUGACGUCAAGUCCUCAUGGCCCUUAUGUGUUGGGCUACACACGUGCUACAAUGGCAUCUACAACAGGAAGCAAAACGGCAACGUUAAGCAAAUCCCGAAAAGAUGCCUCAGUUCGGAUUGCACUCUGCAACUCGAGUGCAUGAAGCUGGAAUUACUAGUAAUCGUGGAUCAGCGUGCCACGGUGAAUACGUUCCCGGGUCUUGUACACACCGCCCGUCACACCAUGGGAGUUGGUUCUACCUUAAGGCAA